rnacentral:rRNA from 1 species
UACGAAGGUGGCAAGCGUUGUUCGGAAUUACUGGGCGUAAAGCGUGCGCAGGCGGUUGUGCAAGACAGAUGUGAAAUCCCCGGGCUCAACCUGGGAACUGCAUUUGUGACUGCACGGCUGGAGUGCGGCAGAGGGGGAUGGAAUUCCGCGUGUAGCAGUGAAAUGCGUAGAUAUGCGGAGGAACACCGAUGGCGAAGGCAAUCCCCUGGGCCUGCACUGACGCUCAUGCACGAAAGCGUGGGGAGCAAACAGG